GACGCCCGGUUUCAUUUGUUGUUUUGUGUGUUGCUUUGCUACGGCGCAAGGUGUUCGGACGAAUUAGCUGUCAAUCUCCGACCAAAAUAUAUUUAGGGUAGGUUGAUUAAGGGAUCAGUACUGUAGCAGUUCCCAGUGAGAUUAAUUCUGGGUCUGCUAGAGGUUAAUGUGAUAUUGCAAGAGUCCUUGGACUUUAUGCCAUUUUCAGGUGCAUUUACAUUAGCUUGGUAAAGCUAACUAGCUAGCUACUGUACAGUAACAUCACAAGCAACCUCUUGUUUUUUUUAGCUGUUUUUUUUUCUACGCUCACGAAAUUGAAGAUGUCCGACUCCGACAUAAUGUCUUCAACCGAAGACAGAGCCAAGGAGAUUCUGAAGGGGUUUAAGCUAAACUGGAUGAACCUGCGUGAUGCUGAGACUGGGAAGGUGCUGUGGCAGGGAACGGAGGACCUGUCUCUUCCUGGGGUCGAACAUGAAGCUCGAGUCCCCAAGAAAAUUCUCAAGUGCAAAGCUGUGUCCAGAGAGCUAAAUUUCUCUUCAUCAGAAAAACUGGAAAAGUUCCGCCUUGAGCAGAAGGUUUUCUUCAAAGGCCAGUGCUUAGAAGAAUGGUUCUUUGAGUUUGGCUUUGUGAUUCCCAACUCCACAAACACAUGGCAGUCUUUGAUAGAGGCGGCUCCAGAGUCGCAGAUGAUGCCCGCAAAUGUUUUAACUGGAAAUGUUGUUAUAGAGACCAAGUUCUUUGAUGACGAUCUUCACGUCAGCACCUCGCGAGUACGACUUUUCUAUGUCUGAAGAAGAACGAACAACUUACUUUUUUAUUUUCUAUUAAUCCUUGAAGUGAGGGUGGGGGAAAAAAACAGGACCAUGCAUACACAACUGAUUGUUGUUAUCCAAUGGUCACUGGAAGCCGAGUUCGACGGAGUGCAUUUCUCUUUACAGUGACGGGUGACGGCAGCACUAAAGGGAACAGUGCAGGAAGAAACCAACAUCCAACCAAGUCAUCAAGAUCACACUGGCUUCUUGGCAGACAAGACUUUUUAAAUGUCACCCUGCGAUGUACACUGCUCCAUUGUCACCUUGUGUUUUCGAUGUUUGCUUCCAGUUGAUGUUGUGGUUGCUGAUAUUGUCAUUGUUUGGAUUUUUUUUAGCUGUUACUAAUCUUGUAAAAUAGACUGUGUUUAUUACUACACGAAUUACGGAUUAAAAUAUGUUCACUACA